rnacentral:rRNA from 1 species
AGUGAACGCUGGCGGUAGGCCUAACACAUGCAAGUCGAACGGCAGCACAGUAAGAGCUUGCUCUUACGGGUUGCGAGUGGCGGACGGGUGAGGAAUACAUCGGAAUCUACUUUUUCGUGGGGGAUAACGUAGGGAAACUUACGCUAAUACCGCAUACGACCUACGGGUGAAAGCAGGGGAUCUUCGGACCUUGCGCGAUUGAAUGAGCCGAUGUCGGGUUAGCUAGUUGGCGGGGUAAAGGCCCACCAAGGCGACGAUCCGUAGCUGGUCUGAGAGGAUGAUCAGCCACACUGGAACUGAGACACGGUCCAGACUCCUACGGGAGGCAGCAGUGGGGAAUAUUGGACAAUGGGCGCAAGCCUGAUCCAGCCAUACCGCGUGGGUGAAGAAGGCCUUCGGGUUGUAAAGCCCUUUUGUUGGGAAAGAAAAGCAGCAGGUUAAUACCCCGCUGUUCUGACGGUACCCAAAGAAUAAGCACCGGCUAACUUCGUG